GGUAGCAUGAGACAAGAUUUCUAAGAAUAAGUAAAUGUGCCCUAGCCUAGGUUAUUAUGUCCAUACACAUAACACAUGACAAUCCCCAAGGUACUCUUGACACACCUCAUUCAUGCUUCAGGACAAAAAGGAGUACCCCUAUAAAGGGUGGUUUUACCCACACAUACAUAUAUAUGCAUAUUAAUGCCAUAGGGGUGUCAAGGGGGGUACCAAAUAAUUUUAAGGUAAGAAACUAAGUUUGAAUCUAUUCUCCCAAGCAUUACGGCUAAUAAAAUCUGAAUUGGAAGGGAAGAGGUUUAUACAAUAAACAGGAGACCUUUUUCUUACAGGACAUGUAUGACUCAGCUGAAUGGGUAGGUGCCACGCACAUGACUGUCAAUCCCCUCAAACCACACAUUAGGACUUUAAAAGACAUGGUAGUCAUCCCAUAUUUGAGGAUAAGAGGGCUGUAGAGACAGGUUUCUCUGACACUAACUUGUGACUUGAAUGGAUGAAAUACAAUGCUACUAAACAUAACAAGUCUAACUGCUAUGUCUGCAGAGGAGCGAGGCCUCACCCAGGUACAGUAUCCCUGAACCUUCCUCCGGAUAUGAAGUGUGCGUUUUAAGUCUCUACACUGUAUUUAAACCUAAGCGGUCAGCAUGCGAGUCAUGGAAACUUAAUACCCAAUCAUUACUAAAAAUAUUAACCCAGACGAAGGCAUUACUAUAUAGCCCGGGAACUAUACUUGUUAUGGGAUAUAUGGUGGGAUAGGGCGGUUACAAACUAUCUCUCAGAUGACCUUCCAGAAUAGAAUAAGCUUGGAAAUGAUUUUAGCAGAAAAAGGGAGAGUAUGUAAAAUACUCCCAGACACCAUGACAUGCUGUACCUAUAUUCCAGAUAAUACAGGCCCUAAUGGUAAGGUAACGUUGGCAAUAGAAAAGUUAAAGAGUUUGUCCAAUGAACUGAAACGAAAUUCUGGGGCCACAGAUCCAUGGGAAAGAUGGUUUGGAUGGAUGUCUGAAUGGCAAGGUGCUCUGGCCCAAAUAGGUGUUGCCAUUUUAAUAACGAUAAUCAUCCUCGCUCUUCUUGUUUGUUGUGUGUUACCCUGUCUUAAGAAAUGCCUACAAAAGACAGUUGAUCAGACAAUCGACCAGACCACCCCGACCUUCCUUCACCAAGAGAUUGACGACAUCGACCUUGAUACACCACAUACACCCUUACAGUCCCACCGCACUAAAUCAACAGCUACUUCCUCUUAAGGACAUUUAGGGAUAGCGUCUGUCUCUACGGGCAGAAGUCUGCCGCGGGAGAAGUAGUGGACAAGCUGCUAUGGGGUACCCGCGCAGUGAAGUGUUCGAGGCCUGUUCAGACAGAUGUGCAAGAUAGCCUUUUGUUAUUUUUCUAUAGGGACAGUAUUAGAAUGAGAGAUAGUAGUUUUAGUAAAAAUUGCCAUUUUAAGGGGGGACUGUUAUGGACAGAUGAAUUAAAAUAAAAUGGCUAUUUACUAAUGUCUAUUUAUUCUCUGUUCACUAUGUUAAAACUGGCUUCUAGAGUAAAUGUUCCCUUCCCCCCCCCUACAAUGUGGUCAGCUGCUGUUUACUAUGUAAAUUCCUCACAUCCUGCUAGCCUCCCCUCCCCCACUACCUUUGUGCCAGUUAACAGCUAUAUGCCAUAUAUAGCUAAAUGGAGGAUCAUUGGUUUAGAACUGAUAGAUACCACUCACUCCCCCUUUCUCCGUGUAUCUAAAAGUGUGUAAUGAUGACACUACAUUCUGUAGG
rnacentral:lncRNA from 1 species